GACGAACGCUGGCGGCGUGCUUAACACAUGCAAGUCGAACGGAAAGGCCCCUUUGGGGGUCCUCGAGUGGCGAACGGGUGAGUAACACGUGAGUAACCUGCCCUUGACUUCGGGAUAACUUCAGGAAACUGGGGCUAAUACCGGAUAGGAAUCCUUGCUGCAUGGUGGGGGUUGGAAAGCUUCGGCGGGUUUGGCUGGACUCGCGGCUUAUCAGCUUGUUGGAGGGGUAGUGGCUUACCAAGGCUUUGACGGGUAGCCGGCCUGAGAGGGCGACCGGCCACAUUGGGACUGAGAUACGGCCCAGACUCCUACGGGAGGCAGCAGUGGGGAAUAUUGCACAAUGGGCGGAAGCCUGAUGCAGCAACGCCGCGUGCGGGAUGACGGCCUUCGGGUUGUAGACCGCUUUCAGCAGGAGCGAAGCUUGUGGUGACGGUACCUGCAGAAGAAGCACCGGCUAACUACGUG
rnacentral:rRNA from 1 species